UGAAAGUGACACAUGCGCCCCCAAUUUCUACUUUGAAGUAAAUAUCGAGAAUCCUUUUUUGAAGCAAUCCACGCCCAAUGAUUAGCGUGACUGUCGACAUAUUCAUUCCAGUCCCGAUACGCCCGUCACCAGUUGCCAACAACUUCCGCUGCAGCAUUAACUUUCGUGCACGUAUUUUUCCGUAACCACACGCGCCCUAGUAAAUAAUUCUUCUUAAAUUACUAGUGAACGAACCUAAACCUCGACACAGUACUUCCAUCACUACUUUACUGGACUAAAACAUCAUUCGUUACAAUUUCGCGUCCGGCUGAACUCGCCUCGGUGCACGUCGAAAGCUUGUCGGCUUAGUUUAGCUUAGCUUAGCUUAGCUUCGUUUAGCUUGCUAACAAAGAGACGCGUUUGUUAGCAACGCAUCGCCGAGCAGAGAUCGAGUGUGGAAAUUGUGUUAUUAUAGCGUGGAAAUGUGUGCAAGACCGACCGCGAAGAACGCGGAGGAACUUUCUGGAUUCAAAGAGAACGAACGUCGACUGGCGCAUGACGCUGUUUUCAAGCAGCCUCGAGACACGGCAGACCAAAGUGAAAAAUAUCUUCGCCCUGAGCAACAGGAGCCACAGUGCCCUCACAUUAAAGAGGAGGAGGAGGAGCACCCCUUCAUUAAAGAGGAGCCAGUGUCCCCUCACAAUAAAAGGGAGGAAGAGCCCACUCACAUUAAAAAGGAAGAGGAGACAGAAAACUCCCACAUCAAAGUAGUAGAAGAGGAGGAUGACAAGUUGCCAUUGACCUUUGUCACUUUGAAGAAUGAAGAGGAUGAAGAUAAAGGUAAAUGUGAGGAGAACAGCGGGGUGGAGCCUCCAAGCAGAAGCUCAAGUCAACACAUGAAAACAGCAGGCGAUGGAGACCACAGUGGAGGAUCACAAGCACGCGGCCUCCUAGCUCCACUAUCAGAUAGUGACGACAUAACGUCACACUCUCCUGACACUGAUGACGAUGAUCAUGAUGAUGAACACGCUAAAGGUUGAACAUGAUUUAAAUGGAAGACGUAUGGGACGACCAGAACCCUUCCUAGAGCUGGCCGUCCGGCCAAACUGAGCAACCUGGCGAGAAGAGCCUUGGUGAGAUAGGUAAAGAAGAACCCAAAGAUCACUGUGGCUGAGCUCCAGAGUUCCACUCGGGAGAUGGGAGAAAGUUCUAGAAAGUCAACCAUCACUGCAGCCCUCCCCCAGUCGGGGCUUUAUGGCAGAGUGGCCCGACGGAAGCCUCUACUCCGUGCAAGACACAUAGAAGCCCGCAGGAAGUUUGCUUAAAAAAUUAAAAUAAUAAUAAUACAAAAAAAUAACAUCUGAAGGACUCCAAGAUGGCGGCACGGUGGCCAACUGGUUAGAGCGUCAGCCUCACAGUUCUGAGGUGCGGGGUUCAAUCCCCGUCCCCGCCUGUGUGGAGUUUGCAUGUUCUCCCCGUGCCUGCGUGGGUUUUCUCCGGGCACUCCGGUUUCCUCCCACAUCCCAAAAACAUGCAUUAAUUGGAGACUCUAAAUUGCCCGUAGGCAUGACUGUGAGUGCGAAUGGUUGUUAGUUUCUAUGUGCCCUGCGAUUGGCUGGCAACCAGUUCAGGGUGUGCCCCGCCUCCUGCCCGAUGACAGCUGGGAUAGGCUCCAGCACGCCCGCGACCCUAGUGAGGAGAAGCGGCUCAGAAAAUGGAUGGAUGGAUGGACUCCAAGAUGGUGAGAAAUAAGAUUAUCUGGUCUGAUGAGACCAAGAUAGAAAUUGUUGGCCUUAAUUCUAAGUGGUAUGUGUGGAGAAAACCAGGCACUGCUCAUCACCUGUCCCAUACAGUCCCAACAGUGAAGCAUGGUGGUGACAGCAUCAUGCUGUGGGGGUGUUUUUCAGCUGCAGGGACAGAACGACUGUUUGCAAUCGAAGGAAAGAUGAAUGUGCCCAAGUGUAUGGAUAUACUGGAUGAAAACCUUCUCCAGAGUGCUCAGAAUCUCAGACUGGGCCGAAGGUUCACCUUCCAACAAGAUAAUGGCCCUAAGCACACAGCUAAAAUAACGAAGGAGUGGCUUCAGAACAACUCCAUGACUUUUCUGGAAUGGUCCAGGCAGAGCCCUGACUUAUGCCCAAUUGAGCAUCUCUGGAAAGACCUGAAAAUGGCUGCCCACCAAUGUUCACCAUCCAACUGGACAGAACUGGAGAGGAUCUUCAAGGAGGAAUGGCAGAGGAUCCCCAAAUCCAGAUGAUGUGCUCCAAACAUUUAAGAAGGGAACAGGAUGCUCUGGAACACCUGAAACAGGCCCCAUUGAGAAGAGGGAAUACACGAGAUCGGACUUGACUGAAUUUGAUCUUGUUGGUUACAAUUUUUUUUUCUGAUAUGCGACUUUCUACUGCAGGCCUGUUGGCUUCAUUAACUGUUUGGAAAUAAAUGUUUAUUACAAAUUGUGGACUGAUCCUGUCACUGUAUCUACUCCACACCCAGUUGUAGUUCAGUAACAUUUGUAAAUAAUUAACUCCUUUUUAAGAAAUACUAUAAAUUAGUUCUGUCAUUUAUAUACACAAAAUUAUUGAAAAUGUUGUCCAAAUUAGUGGUCUUAUGAAAUGAUGUCUUAUGUAUGAAAAUGCUGAAUACAUCAUUCAAAAUACUUUGGAAUAAUUUGUCUAUCACUGUGAGAGCGCGCAAAUACUGUACCAUUAUUUUUGGUGCAACGUUUAUAUUUAAUGUUCUCACGGAAGCAUGUCCUCAAGGCCAUAUUGUAAUGUAGAUGUUGAAGCAAAUGAUUGGGAUUACAUUAUUUUGAAUGUUGUAUGAAACAUUUUCAUUCAUACGACAUCUCCUUCUUUUUUUGUGUAGGCCGUAAUUACAAGUUGUCGAUCAAAUGUCAGUCAGGCCAGGUGGAUGGAUUUGGGACACAUUUGUCCAUAUACUCUAACUUGGUAUUUAAGGCUAAUUUUGGAUGCCGCCGUUUGCUUUGCAUGAAAAUGAGGUUUCUCAGCCAUUAUUAUAUGGAAGUGAUUGGCUCUUUUGCCACUCAAUGUAAUGCGCAUGCACAAAAAUACGUCACGAUGACGUUUCGCGAACGCUCUCAUUCUACUAUACCAGCGUCUGUCCUCCUACUUAAGUGAGCGUGACAACGGCACUUUUCCCACGUCUGAACACCAUUAAGGCUACCCUCCAGUUACAAGCUGACAGUUGGUCCAUUUUUAGCUUUGUAAUGUGAGGCAAAAUUUGAGUUACGAGCAAGAUGUAGAUACCCCUCUGCUCGAGUGAAGUGGAAAAACAAAAUGGAGCAAUUAAGGUCUUGUAUUGCCCUGGUAUGUGGACAAGUAGAGU